rnacentral:rRNA from 1 species
UUGGAGGGCAAGUCUGGUGCCAGCAGCCGCGGUAAUUCCAGCUCCAAUAGCGUAUAUUAAAGUUGUUGCAGUUAAAAAGCUCGUAGUUGAAUUUCGGGGUUCUACCGUUGGUCGGGCUUUGUCUGUACUGGUGUGUAGAAUUUCUACCUUCUGGGGAACCAUCAUGCUAUUAAUUUAGCGUGGUGGGAAACCAGGACCUUUACCUUGAAAAAAUUAGUGUGUUCAAAGCAGGCUUAUGUCUGAAUACAUUAGCGUGGAAUAAUAGAAUAGGACGGUGGUCCUGUUUUGUUGGUUUCUGAAUCACCGUAAUGAUUAAUAGGGAUAGUUGGGGGUAUUAGUAUUCAAUUGUCAGAGGUGAAAUUCUUGGAUUUAUUGAAGACUAACUUCUGCGAAAGCAUUUGCCAAGGAUGUUUUCAUUAAUCAAGAACGAAAGUUAGGGGAUCGAAGACGAUCAGGUACCGUCGUAGUCUUAACCAUAAACUAUGCCGACUAGGGAUCGGACGAUGUUAAUUUUUCUUGACUCGUUCGGCGCCUUACGGGAAAC